rnacentral:rRNA from 1 species
UAUCGGAACGUGCCCAGUCGUGGGGGAGUAACGCAGCGAAAGCUGUGCUAAUACCGCAUACGAUCUAUGGAUGAAAGCGGGGGACGUCGUAAGGGCCUCGCGCGAUUGGAGCGGCCGAUAUCAGAUUAGCUAGUUGGCGGGGUAAAAGCCCACCAAGGCGACGAUCUGUAGCUGGUCUGAGAGGACGACCAGCCACACUGGAACUGAGACACGGUCCAG